CGCCAAACCCUGUGAUCAAAGGCGCGCGGGUCUCCAGGCUCCGUGUUCUGGGCCCGAGUUAGAAUCCUGUCAGCUGAGGAGGUCGGGCGGGGCAGACGGGCUUCACCUUGAAAAUCUCGGGGAGACUGUGGGUACGAGGGGGAAGUGAUUAUUUUUCUGUUGCUCACUUUUCAAUAUGAAGGAGGAUCAAGUUGUGGCGGAAGAACCAGGAUUCCAAGAUGAAGAGGAAUCUUUGUUUCAAGAUAUUGACCUGUUACAGAAACAUGGAAUUAACGUGGCUGACAUUAAGAAACUGAAAUCAGUAGGAAUCUGUACCAUCAAAGGUAUACAGAUGACAACAAGAAGAGCUCUAUGCAAUGUCAAAGGACUCUCAGAAGCCAAAGUAGACAAGAUUAAAGAGGCAGCGAACAAACUAAUUGAACCAGGAUUCUUGACUGCAUUUGAGUAUAGUGAAAAGAGGAAAAUGGUUUUCCAUAUCACCACCGGGAGCCAGGAAUUUGAUAAGUUGCUAGGAGGUGGAAUUGAAAGUAUGGCAAUUACAGAAGCUUUUGGAGAAUUUCGUACUGGAAAAACCCAGCUCUCUCAUACUCUCUGUGUGACAGCUCAACUUCCAGGAGCUGGUGGCUACCCAGGAGGAAAGAUUAUCUUCAUUGAUACAGAAAAUACUUUGUAACCUUUUUAUUUAAAGUUGCUAACAUAAUAGUGUGAUAUAGGAAUGUUACCACUAAAGAGUUUGUCUGAGAUAUACAAUCUUUGUAGUCAUUCCAUAAACCAGUAGUAAUGAGACAAACCAAAGGGAAAACAAUUACUGGUCAAGUUCUCAAAUCACUUUUUAUUUAAUGAGGUUUCACUUCUUCAUAUGGGUUUAUGAGACAAAACAAAUACAUGAGAGGAAAUUAUAUCAUCUUCAUUUUUAAUCCUCUUACUUCUCUAAAGAUUUUGCUUAAUAGUUAGAAAAAGUAUUUUUUUUUUGAGACGGAAUCACCCUGUUGCCCAGGCUGGAGUCCAGUGGGGCGAUCUCGGCUCACUGCAACCUCCAUCUCUUGGGUUCAAGCAAUUCUGCCUCAGCCUACCGAGUAGCUGGGAUUACGGG
rnacentral:sRNA from 1 species